AGUGAACGCUGGCGGUAGGCCUAACACAUGCAAGUCGAACGGCAACACAGUAAGAUCUUGCUCUUACGGGUGGCGAGUGGCGUACGGGUGCGGACUACAUCGGAAUCUACUUUUUCGUGGGGGAUCACGUAGUGAAACUUACGCUCAUACCGCAUACGACCUACGGGUGAAAGCCGGGGAUCUUCGGACCUUGCGCGAUUGGAUGAGCCGAUGUCUGAUUAGCUAGUUGGCGGGGUAAAGGCCCACCAAGGCGACGAUCCGUAGCUGGUCUGAGAGGAUGACCAGCCACACGGGAACUGAGACACGGCCCAGACUCCUACGGGAGGCAGCAGUGGGGAAUUUGGGACAAGGGGCGCAAGCCUGAUCCAGCCAUGCCGCGGGGGGGAAGAAGGCCUUCGGGUUGUAAACCCCUUUUGUGGGGAAAGAAAAGGUUCUGGUUAAUACCCGGGACUCUUGACGGUACCAAAAGAAUAAGCACGGGCUAACUACGUG
rnacentral:rRNA from 1 species